UCCCGCUUUUUUUCAUCGAGUUUGAGUGCUGUUGGGGCGAAUAAUCUCGGAGAUGAGUCAGUCUUACAUCUAAGGAGCAAAUAUGCCUUUUUGUUUUGUGCCUCAAUGCAGUCAUUCCAGCGCCAGUUCCCAGUCCAAGUGCUCCUUCUUCCGAUUGCCCCGGGACGAGGGGGAGUUGAAGAAAUGGACUACACUGAUGAGGAGACAAGAUGCAAAGCCCAAUGAGCAUUCAAGAGUGUGCUCUUGUCAUUUUAGGAAUGGCAAGAAAGAAGCUGGUCCAACCCUAUUUGCUUGGAAUGACUUCAAGAGAAGAAUGCCGGAACCAGGAGAUGGAGCUUGGCUGGCGGCCCGGAGCUGGCGGCCGCCCUGCCGUGACGGUCGCACGCCGCUGUACCUGGCCGUACUGCAGCCCACCCGGAGCUGGUGUCACAGAUGCCAAGCUGCGAGAUGACGGGGGGUUAUCGGCCGUCGUCCAAACGGUGCGCGCGGGCCCUCAUCUUGUCCGGCGGCGCGCCCACUUCGCGACUGGCUCCGACCUCGCUUGGCGUUGGUACAAGAGCUGCCGGGAGUCGCCCUGCGUCCUCGGCGGGGAGCCGAGAUUCCGGGCGGGCCGACUCCAACGUUUCCACACGAUAUCGCUUUGAUAGCCAGAACGGCCUACGACGUUCCACGGCGCACGCCCACCCGGAGCUGGCGGCCGCCCUGCCGUGACGGUCGCACGCCGCUGUACCUGGCCGUACUGCAGCCCACCCGGAGCUGGCGGCCGCCCUGCCGUGACGGUCGCACGCCGCUGUACCUGGCCGUACUGCAGGGCUGGCGGCCGCCCUGCCGUGACGGUCGCACGCCGCUGUACCUGGCCGUACUGUAGCCCACCCGGAGCUGGCGGCCGCCCUGCCGUGACGGUCGCACGCCGCUGUACCUGGCCGUACUGCAGGGCUGGCGGCCGCCCUGCCGUGACGGUCGCACGCCGCUGUACCUGGCCGUACUGCAGCCCACCCGGAGCUGGCGGCCGCCCUGCCGUGACGGUCGCACGCCGCUGUACCUGGCCGUACUGCAGGGCUGGCGGCCGCCCUGCCGUGACGGUCGCACGCCGCUGUACCUGGCCGUACUGCAGCCCACCCGGAGCUGGCGGCCGCCCUGCCGUGACGGUCGCACGCCGCUGUACCUGGCCGUACUGCAGCCCACCCGGAGCUGGUGUCGCAGAUGCCAAGCUGCGAGAUGACGGGGGUUAUCGGCCGUCGUCCAAACGGUGCGCGCGGGCCCUCAUCUUGUCCGACGGCGCGCCCACUUCGCGACUGGCUCCGACCUCGCUUGGCGUUGGUACAAGAGCUGCCGGGAGUCGCCCUGCGUCCUCGGCGGGGAGCCGAGAUUCCGGGCGGGCCGACUCCAACGUUUCCACACGAUAUCGCUUUGAUAGCCAGGUUUCUUUCAAUGAUUAUUUCUGUAAUCGGUCACGAGGCGAAUCCUCGUUGAGCCUAAUUUGUUCUCCAGUCUGCCAAGUCUGGUUUGCUUUGUUGAUGACUUUGUGGUGUUAACGUGCCAAACCACAUGCUGUACUAUUAAAGGGUGUCAAAACGAGUUAUGCUUAACAGCUAUAUAAACUACGCCUGGAGUUUGCUCUGAUAUGAAUUGCGUUUUAUCAUUAUGACCUAACCAAAUAACUUGAGUGAGGUAGUUGGAAAGUACUUAGCAUAAUACGUGGCCGCUGGCUUCGUUCCCCAAGCGCGACGGCUCGCCGUUUUCAACGUUCGUCUGCGCACUGUACAUCUGCAGCCCAGUAAUCAAUAAAUGGCACAGGUACUC